rfam:Picea glauca, whole genome shotgun sequence.
GUAUAUGUCUAUAGCAUAGAAUCAAUGCACUGGAUACCAUGAGAACUUGCAGUUAAACACACUCGGGCUAGAGUAGUAUUGGGAUGGGUGAUCGCCGAGGAAGUCCUAGUGGUUUACAUG